CCUACGGGAGUCAGCAGUGGGGAAUAUUGGACAAUGGGCGAAACCCUGACCCAGCGACGCCGCGUGAGGGAAGAAGGAUUUCGGGAUGUAAACUUCUAUUCUGAGGGACGAUGAAAGUGACAGUAGCUCAAGAAUAAGCCACGGCUAACUACGUGCCAGCAGCCGCGGUACUACGUAGGUGGCAAGCUUUAUCCGGAUUUAUUGGGUGUAAAGGGCGUGUAGGCGGGAAAGCAAGUCUGAUGUGAAAACCCAGGGCUUAACCCUGGGCCUGCAUUGGAAACUGUUUGUCUUGAGUGCUGGAGAGGUAAUCGGAAUUCCGGGUGUAGCGGUGAAAUGCGUAGAUAUAAGGAGGAACACCAGUGGCGAAGGCGGAUUGCUGGACUGUAACUGACGUUGAGGCGCGAAAGCGUGGGGAGCAAACAGGAUUAGAUACCCUUGUAGUC
rnacentral:rRNA from 1 species